rnacentral:antisense_RNA from 1 species
UAUUGACAUAAGGGAUUCGUUCUGAGAACCGGCGCUGACUGCUAAAUAAGCAUUCAUGCCUAAUUUUUUCAUUUGUUCUUCAUUGAUAACCCGUGUAUUGAUAUUUGUACUGAACUCAUUUGCUAAUUGACGCGCAUGUAAUGAUAAGUAUUCAGAAUUACAAAUAUUGGGUGGCAUAUUGCUAAUAUCUUUAGC